rfam:Helianthus annuus linkage group 12, whole genome shotgun sequence.
GAGAGCCAAAUGAAUCGAAAAGUUCAUGUUUGUUUCGGGAAGGGAUCAUGGAAUUUUUGAAAUGAAUGGAAAGAUAAUCUACUUUCAU